AAGGUGUAAGACUUUAAGACAAUCCUGAAGCCAUUUUUGACAAUUCUGAAUCCUCUCAGCCUCUGUGCCAUAGUGCUUCCCCUCCUCCCCUGGGAACCAAGGACCUAACAGCUACACUUGCACGUACUCAGUUCCUGAACAAUUACCCAUAUACGUAUGCUUUGGUUCUGUCCCCUGGGAAACGAGGUCAAAAUGACCUCUUACCUCAUCUGAUCUGGCAACAGCUCUCCAGUCAAUUAUUGGUAAUAGCCCUUUCAAAUAAGCCAAUCAGAAUAGUCAAAGAACAACCCCCCUUGCUUCUGUGGCCCCUUUAAAAGUAGACUGUACCCGCUAUUCGAGGUCCCUCGGCUUCCCGAAUGCUGGGGGACCCUGUCAUGACAGAAUUAAUAAAAUCCUCAUGCUUUUGCAUCGGCUGUAGUGUGUGAGAUGGUCUCUGGGGGCGACUCCUUCUCGGUGUUUGGACGCCAGAGUCCAACAGUUGGUUCCCUGACCGGGAAUCGAGUCGCUCCCAGACACACUCUAGACCCAGUUGGAGGGCUAGUAUUUGAAGGGGACCAGGCAGUGGGACAGACGUGUCCGGGAACACUCCCUGGCCCAGCCAUGGAGGACGCUUCACUGGCAAUUUGUGAAACUAGGAGCAACUAGGUCAUCUUAGUUUCUAGGGAGUGUGGCCCUUAUUGCCCACUCCCUUCCAGGUUCGUAUCAGUUUGUUGCCGCGCGGCUUCUGAUUUUGAGUUUAUGUCUGUCUUUUUGUUCUUGUGUAUUUUCAGUUCUACACCAGAGUGGUGGUGAGAGCACCAGCUUCUGGUUUUGAGUUUAUGUCUGUCUCUUUGUAUUUUUUGUUUUUGUAUGUCGGUUUGUCUUUGUUAAAAUCCACCUGCAGGAAUUCAGAACCUGGCACCGGCCCCCUGGCCAUCAUUAGUUUCCCUGAUUCCGAAAGCAGCCCCACUGCUGGAGGAGAUGGUGGCUGCCCCUCCCCAAGCCCUUUGUCUUCUCUCUUUCCUGUACAGGAGCAAAAGAAACCCAGAAUCCAGGCACCUCUGGUUCUUCCUGAUAUCCAGCCGAGCAUGACAGACUUCUCCCUCCUCCUCCCCUGGAGGAAGCACUUCGUUCCUGAGGAGCCCCGCUGGUCGGGCCCUAGCCCUGAAAACUUCGGUACUCAGCAUCCACACUGGGACAGGGGAAGGAUGAGAAUGACUUCCCAAACAUUUCCCCUUCACUCAGUAGCAGGCCAAUUGCAAUACUGCCUUUUUCUGCCUCUAAUCUUUACUUACAACCCUUCCUUUUCUUGGGACCCUCAGACAGUGACCGGGCUUAUAGAAUCUGUUCUGGUUAUUCAUCAGCCCACUUGGGAUGAUUGCCAGCAGCUCUUAUAGGUGCUCCUAACUACAGAGAAAAAAAGAAUGUCCCAGGAGCUGACAGCAGGCCAACCCAAUCACCGGACAAGAAAGAGGAUGGGACUUCAAUACUCCAGCUGGUAGGGAGCAGCUCCGUCUUUAUUGCCAGAGUCCAGUUGGCUGGUCUAAAAAAAGGAGGGGGGGUUGCAAAACACCCCACUAAUUUGCUAAUUUGGCUAAGGUAAGAGCAAAGGUCUGAUAGUACUCCUACAGGAUUUUUAGAAAGACUAUUAGAACGGGACAGGAUGUAAACCCAUUUUGAUCCCAUGGCAGCAGAUCGCCAAGCCAAUGUAAUAAUGUCUUUUAUAGGCCAGUCAGCAUCAGACAGCAAGUUGCAGAGAAUGGAGGGGCUGCAGAGAUGCUCCCUCCAGGACUUAGUAAAAAAAAAAAUUAGACAGAUAGGGAGGCAACAGAAGACGACAGCUGCAGAGACUGCGCACCUCAGACAGAGCAGCCCCUGAAUGGCCAAAUGCAGACUUCAGUGAGGAGUGGCCCUACAGGACUUUGGGCUCGAGACACUCCCAAAGCAGCUGCUGAGCAGAAGCAGGUCGGAGAACGGCGCCAAGCACAGCCGGCUACUGAAGCGGCACUCUGCCCACCUGAGAGGCCAACGCAGCAGCCACAGUGAUAGUACUGAAAUUCCCCCCCCCUUGCUUAUGCUGUGCACCCAGGUGUUCGAUUCUGGGGUGUACGGAAAAAAAGGGGGAGGGGUUACCCCUCGCUAUAUCUAAAGCAUUUGACUAUGGACACAAGAACUGCUGAUUAUUCCUGAAUGUCCCACGCUUUUAUUAAAAAAAGACCUGUUGGAGACUUUGAUUUCCCCUACUGUUCUCCAGGACUGUAAAGAAAAGCAGGCUGCUCUCUGCCUUCGCCAUGCCCACCUUGCUGAGGAAGGCUUUGCAGCCACUGCCGGCUGAAUCCUCCCAGCUGCCUUGGUCACAGCCCAAGCCUGGGAACUCUGCUUACAGCCACCUGCCCCCGCAGGUAGCAACUGACUGAAGCGAGGAGGGGCCCGGGAGGUUCCGGAGCCCAAUUCCAAACAGCGUUCCCGAGCUGCUUGCAAGUUUCACAGAGAACAACUGCCCCCAGCUCCCAGACCGCAGCUAUGGAAAGCUUGGGGUUCAGCAAUGCCCAAGCAGAGCCGGUUUUGAUGGCGCAUGCUGGUAAAAAGGCAGGGCAGCAAUGGUAAAUGACCUGAGCAGUCUACUUAAAGGGACAUCACCUGGAUGGCAGAGAAUCUUUUUCUUACCAGGACUAUCUUGCAGCCUGGAUCCAUGCAUCUCACGUCAAGCCUACACCUCCACAGGACGACCCAGGACCUUCCAAAUGAAAGUUUCAGUGUACCCAAAAUCCUCUCAAGGAGGCCUGGUUCUGCCAGGCUUGCUGAUCUUUGCCCUGAUGUUUAUACCUUAGGACUUAACCUGGACCAUGACAAACUUUGAGACUGGGCAAGCCUUAAGGCCAGCCACUGGAGUUCAUCCCCUGAAUACCUGGUUCCCCCAGCUAACUUUUGACCUGUAUGUUUUAGCAAAAGCCUCUUGGGAGGAUACUGAGCAAACCCCUGAAAACUUUUAUCCUGUAUGCAAAUAUUCUAAAUGAUAUGUUUGUCCGGGGAGAAAAACAAUAUGGGGGGGGGGCUAAAAUAUUUUAUUGUGCUGCCUGAGGAUGUAAAACCAAUGUCAAUGUCUCCUGGUUGAGGGUUAAUGAAAAGGACUUAGUCUCUUUCACCCAUAAAUAGUAGGGAAUAGACUCAUCUGGCAGUUUAUUGAUCUAUGAUGGGCCUACAACACUGGUUUGUUAAUCUCUGUGUACAGAUCCAAUUGGUCCUCCAAAUUUACUAAUAUCUCAAGAUUGAGAUAUUUGACCAAAUAAGAGGAGGGAAUGUAAGACUUUAAGACAAUCCUGAAGCCAUUUUUGACAAUUCUGAAUCCUCUCAGCCUCUGUGCCAUAGUGCUUCCCCUCCUCCCCUGGGAACCAAGGACCUAACAGCUACACUUGCACGUACUCAGUUCCUGAACAAUUACCCAUAUACGUAUGCUUUGGUUCUGUCCCCUGGGAAACGAGGUCAAAAUGACCUCUUACCUCAUCUGAUCUGGCAACAGCUCUCCAGUCAAUUAUUGGUAAUAGCCCUUUCAAAUAAGCCAAUCAGAAUAGUCAAAGAACAACCCCCCUUGCUUCUGUGGCCCCUUUAAAAGUAGACUGUACCCGCUAUUCGAGGUCCCUCGGCUUCCCGAAUGCUGGGGGACCCUGUCAUGACAGAAUUAAUAAAAUCCUCAUGCUUUUGCA